GGUCGACGACUGAUCAUGAAGAGUCGUGGCCUAGGCUAGUGGUCCACAUUGCAUUUGGUGGAUGCGCUGGCUUACCAUCUCCUCGAGUGGAAGAGUGGACGUCAUAAUUUAUGA
rnacentral:rRNA from 1 species